AUUUUUACAGGAGGGGAGACACCAUGUUCAGGAAAGCAGGUUACAAGGGUGGUGGAGCUCAUCUGAGAUUUCCCUAAAUGUGGGAAAUUGGACUACAUAGUUUGUGGUAGUGGGGAAAACGUAUUCAAGCUUGUCCCCA
ensembl:snRNA U1 U1 spliceosomal RNA